rnacentral:misc_RNA from 1 species
ACGAUAUAUAGGAGUAUGCUGC